GCCGUGAAAGAAAAAGUAGUAAAAUAAAACCACACAGCGUACAGGCAGCUACAUUCAAUUUCAGCACGAUAUUGGAUGCAGGUGGCCUUCCAGCAGGCAUCUCGCGGUUCACCUGGGUUGCUUGGAGGCUAGGAUGGAGGUAAUGACAGAGGCGUAGCCAGGAUUUUUGGUCAGAAGGACCAGCAAAAAACUAGGUGGGGCAAAGCUUCACGUAUUUUUAUGGAAUAAAUUUCUCAAGGAGGGGGAAAUUUUACCAGGGGGUCGUGCCCCGCCCCGCCCCUGGGCAAUGAGAUCAAAUUGUUUUAUUUAUCGGUAUUGCUUUAUAACAUUGAAUUUGUACCAUCAGGUACAAGUAUUUCAGAGCUCAUUAUAUUGUAAUUGAUACAUAGGUUGUAAGACCUCUAUAGGCGUUCGGUAAGUAGUAUAUGAUGUGUGCAUUAUGUUAAUGGUCUCCUAGAUUGUCAGUCUUCACAGGUCCUGGAAAAUAGACCAUACCGUCAAAUAUUAUGUAUAGUAAGCAUGCUCUGGUAAGCAUGUAUAUUAAGUUUUUUUAUUGUCGGGUCGGAUUUUGUAGGUUUUUUGUCGGAUCGGAUUUUUCUUUUUUCUUUUUUCUCGUAUUGCGUCGAAUUACUCGAAUAUUUUAACAAAUUAAGAUAGUUCUAUACUGAGCAGAAGUGUCUGGAAGGCUUUCAGUGGAGCCGUGUAAGCAGAGUGAUUUGGUCGAAGCGGAGUAAAGUAUAAUGCCGAGUGAUGAUAAUAAAGUAAAGAAGUGUUUUGAGUUAUUUUGACGUAUAUUUCUGACAAAAGAAACACUGGCGUUAUG